rnacentral:rRNA from 1 species
AACUCCGGGGGAUGCUCGCCCAAUCGAUGGGGGAUACCAGUUGGAAACGACUUGCUAAUACCGCAUACGCCCUGAGGGGGAAAUGGUGGGGAUCUUCGGACCUACCGCGAUUGGAUGCGCCCAGGUGGGAUUAGCUAGUUGGUGAGGUAACGGCUCACCAAGGCGACGAUCUCUAGCUGGUCUGAGAGGAUGACCAGCCACACUGGAACUGAGACACGGUCCAGACUCCUACGGGAGGCAGCAGUGGGGAAUAUUGCACAAUGGGGGAAACCCUGAUGCAGCCAUGCCGCGUGUGUGAAGAAGGCCUUCGGGUUGUAAAGCACUUUCAGUCAGGAGGAAAGGUGGCUAGCUAAUACCUAGUUGCUGUGACGUUACUGACAGAAGAAGCACCGGCUAACUCCGUGCCAGCAGCCGCGGUAAUACGGAGGGUGCAAGCGUUAAUCGGAAUUAUUGGGCGUAAAGCGCACGCAGGCGGCUUGUUAAGUCAGAUGUGAAAGCCCCGGGCUCAACCUGGGAACUGCAUUUGAAACUGACAAGCUAGAGUCUUGUAGAGGGUGGUAGAAUUCCAGGUGUAGCGGUGAAAUGCGUAGAGAUCUGGAGGAAUACCGGUGGCGAAGCGGCCCCCUGGACAAAGACUGACGCUCAGUGCGAAAGCGUGGGGAGCAAAC